rnacentral:rRNA from 1 species
AACGAACGCUGGCGGCAGGCUUAACACAUGCAAGUCGAACGCCCCGCAAGGGGAGUGGCAGACGGGUGAGUAACGCGUGGGAAUCUACCUAGUUCUACGGAACAACAGUUGGAAACGACUGCUAAUACCGUAUACGCCCUAUGGGGGAAAGAUUUAUCGGAAUUAGAUGAGCCCGCGUAAGAUUAGCUAGUUGGUGGGGUAAUGGCCUACCAAGGCGACGAUCUUUAGCUGGUCUGAGAGGAUGAUCAGCCACACUGGGACUGAGACACGGCCCAGACUCCUACGGGAGGCAGCAGUGGGGAAUAUUGGACAAUGGGCGCAAGCCUGAUCCAGCCAUGCCGCGUGAGUGAUGAAGGCCUUAGGGUUGUAAAGCUCUUUCAGUGGGGAAGAUAAUGACGGUACCCACAGAAGAAGCCCCGGCUAACUUCGUGCCAGCCGCCGCAGUAACAC